rnacentral:rRNA from 1 species
UACAGAGGUCUCAAGCGUUGUUCGGAUUCAUUGGGCGUAAAGGGUGUGUAGGUGGCGCCGUAAGUCGGGUGUGAAAUUUCGGAGCUUAACUCCGAAACUGCAUUCGAUACUGCGGUGCUUGAGGACUGGAGAGGAGACUGGAAUUCAUGGUGUAGCAGUGAAAUGCGUAGAUAUCGGGAGGAACACCAGUGGCGAAGGCGACUACCUGGCCUGUUCUUGACGCUGAGGCGGCGAAAAGCUAGGGGAGCAAACGGGG